rnacentral:rRNA from 1 species
GCUUCUUUUUCACCGGAGCUUGCUCCACCGGAAAAAGAAGAGUGGCGAACGGGUGAGUAACACGUGGGUAACCUGCCCAUCAGAAGGGGAUAACACUUGGAAACAGGUGCUAAUACCGUAUAACAAUCGAAACCGCAUGGUUUUGAUUUGAAAGGCGCUUUCGGGUGUCGCUGAUGGAUGGACCCGCGGUGCAUUAGCUAGUUGGUGAGGUAACGGCUCACCAAGGCCACGAUGCAUAGCCGACCUGAGAGGGUGAUCGGCCACAUUGGGACUGAGACACGGCCCAAACUCCUACGGGAGGCAGCAGUAGGGAAUCUUCGGCAAUGGACGAAAGUCUGACCGAGCAACGCCGCGUGAGUGAAGAAGGUUUUCGGAUCGUAAAACUCUGUUGUUAGAGAAGAACAAGGAUGAGAGUAACUGUUCAUCCCUUGACGGUAUCUAACCAGAAAGCCACGGCUAACUACGUGCCAGCAGCCGCGGUAAUACGUAGGUGGCAAGCGUUGUCCGGAUUUAUUGGGCGUAAAGCGAGCGCAGGCGGUUUCUUAAGUCUGAUGUGAAAGCCCCCGGCUCAACCGGGGAGGGUCAUUGGAAACUGGGAGACUUGAGUGCAGAAGAGGAGAGUGGAAUUCCAUGUGUAGCGGUGAAAUGCGUAGAUAUAUGGAGGAACACCAGUGGCGAAGGCGGCUCUCUGGUCUGUAACUGACGCUGAGGCUCGAAAGCGUGGGGAGCAAACAGGAUUAGAUACCCUGGUAGUCCACGCCGU